rnacentral:rRNA from 1 species
UACGUAGGGGGCAAGCGUUGUCCGGAUUUAUUGGGCGUAAAGAGCGUGUAGGCGGCCAGGUAGGUCCGCUGUGAAAACUCGAGGCUCAACCUCGAGAUGUCGGCGGAAACCAUCUGGCUAGAGUCCGGAAGAGGAGAGUGGAAUUCCUGGUGUAGCGGUGAAAUGCGCAGAUAUCAGGAAGAACACCCGUGGCGAAGGCGGCUCUCAGGGACGGUACUGACGCUGAGACGCGAAAGCGUGGGGAGCGAACAGG